AUGGACUGGAAGAUGGCAGCAGAGGAAUGCAGGGGGGCAGUCCUCCAGCCUCUUGAGGGGGCUCACUCUGUGCCAGCUCCCCCACACAGCACCCACAGACGCCUGCCUCACUGUGAGAAAAGGCAGGGGCAGUGGCUGAUGCCUUGCGCUCUGGCAGGGAUAGUCAGACUAGUUCCUGGCUGCAGCAGGGUGUCCGAGGAGUUUUCCAGCAGGGCCCCAUCCCAGCAGGACACUGUGAAACAGCUUUGAACUUGGCACUCAGAUCGUGAGGGCUCUCAUUCCAGCAGAGAGCUCUCAGCACAGC
rnacentral:lncRNA from 1 species